rnacentral:rRNA from 1 species
AACGAACGCUAGCGGCAUGCCUAACACAUGCAAGUCGAACGAGACCUUCGGGUCUAGUGGCGCACGGGUGCGUAACGCGUGGGAACCUGCCCUUAGGUUCGGAAUAACUCCCCGAAGGGGGUGCUAAUACCGGAUAAUGUCUUCGGACCAAAGAUUUAUCGCCUUUGGAUGGGCCCGCGUUGGAUUAGCUAGUUGGUAGGGUAAAAGCCUACCAAGGCGACGAUCCAUAGCUGGUCUGAGAGGAUGAUCAGCCACACUGGGACUGAGACACGGCCCAGACUCCUACGGGAGGCAGCAGUGGGGAAUAUUGGACAAUGGGCGAAAGCCUGAUCCAGCAAUGCCGCGUGAGUGAUGAAGGCCUUAGGGUUGUAAAGCUCUUUUACCCGGGAUGAUAAUGACAGUACCGGGAGAAUAAGCGCCGGCUAACUCCGUG